GGGUCAAUGUGGACAACCCAAUGUCAUGAAGAGAGGGUGAUGACAUCAAAUAAGCCUGUAGGGUACGCUGAGGCCC